GACGAACGCUGGCGGCGUGCUUAACACAUGCAAGUCGAACGGAAAGGCCCUGCUUUUGUUGGGUGCUCGAGUGGCGAACGGGUGAGUAACACGUGAGUAACCUGCCCUUGACUUUGGGAUAACUUCAGGAAACUGGGGCUAAUACCGGAUAGGAGCUCCUGCUGCAUGGUGGGGGUGGAAAAUUUUCGGGGGUUGGGGGUGGACGCGCGCCUUCACAGUUUGUUGGGGGGGUAGUGGCUUACCGAGGCUUUCGCGGGUAGCCGGCGUGAGGGGGUGAGCGGACACAUUGGGAGGGAGAUGCGGCCGAGCCUCCUACGGGGCGGAAGAGUGGAGAAUAUUACACUAUGGGCGGAAGCCUGGUGGAGCAACGCCGCGUGCGGGAUGAGGGCCUGCGUGUUGUAAACCGCUUUCGCCUGAGACGAAGCGUGAGUGACGGUAACGGGUAAAGAAGCACCGGCUAACUACGUG
rnacentral:rRNA from 1 species